CUUUUGAUCACCCUGCCUCAGCCUCCCAAGUUGCUGGGAUUGCAGGCAUGUGCCACUGUACCCACCUCAGAUUUCUUUAUUCCCUGCCCUCGACUUUGGUAAAACCCAAAUAGAGAGAGAAGACAGAAGCUAUUCUUAGCCCCUGUACUUGCCAACAUCCACCUACCCAUGCACCCAACCAUCCAUUUACUUACCCAUAAACCUACCUAUGUAUCCAUCCAUCCGUCCAUCCAUCCACUCACCCAUUCAAAUACCUACUCAGGUACCCUUCCAUCCACCCUAUUACCCACUUGUCUACUCAACCACUCAUCAGUCUACCAAAAUCUAUCCACAAACCCACCAGAACACCAGCUCCAGUUUCUGUUAAAACCUCUUCUUCAAGGAAGAAGAUCUUUGGAGAUGAUUUUCUUCUGGAGGUCAACUCUAUGCUGAGAAUUUUUGAAGAAGGUGCUGCUGAAGUGAGCACGUGAUAUACCAAAUUUGUGGCAGCCUUCCACAAUCUUUGUGUUCGUUGUCUUUCUCUUCUCCAUCUGUCUCCCAUCUCAACCCCUGUGUUACCUCCUUACAUAUAAAUAAGUCCAGGCUAAGUUGUUGGAGGAUGAGAGAUCACAAGGAUUAAAACUUCCAUCACUCCAGCCAAAUGCAGCAACUCCCAGAAGCUGAGCUGAGGUGCCCAACCGACCUGUAGCUGACCACAGAUGCAUGAGGGAAGCCAGUCAAAACUAGACUACCCAGCUGAACGCUGCCUAAAUUACUCACAGAAACACAAGCAAAUAAUAGGUGUUUUUUUAAGCCACUAAAAUUUUUGGUGAUUUUAUGCAGAAUUAUUGUGGUACUAGAUAAAUUAUGAUCUCAGCUAAAUUAUUUGCACUAGAAAUGGACUCCAUCUGAGUUCCAACCAACUGCUUGUGGACCAUAUAUGACCUCAUCUACAGAAACCUAGGGUCUGCAUAACAUUUCCAGCAAAACAAUUUUAAGGGUUCAUAAUUAGGGGCACCCAUGAAAAUGCUAAGAAGAGAUGUGUGAGGUUUGGUAGACAUAUAGUAAUGUUGGACUCACCUGCCAAAUAGGGGAGACCAGCCACAACACUGCAGACAGUCUCUUCAUAUUCAAAAAGAAACCUGGUAUGUCCAGCUUUCUUGAGGAUGUUCUGCCCUUCUCCAGAAAAUGACGGGCAACUGAACACGAGGUGUGAGCAGACAACAUCUAGAGACCACCCUAUACCCACAGCUUGGAGUUUAAUGGAUCUGGAAGGCCUUGAUCUUGAUAAAAUCGUAGUUUCAGAAGAGAGUCACAGAUUUUACACCAAUACAAUGGUAUAUGUGAGAGUA